rnacentral:rRNA from 1 species
ACGCUGGCGGCAGGCUUAACACAUGCAAGUCGAACGGUAGCAGGAGAAAGCUUGCUUUCUUGCUGACGAGUGGCGGACGGGUGAGUAAUGCUUGGGAAUCUGGCUUAUGGAGGGGGAUAACUACGGGAAACUGUAGCUAAUACCGCGUAGAAUCGGAAGAUGAAAGUGCGGGACCGUAAGGCCGCAUGCCAUGAGAUGAGCCCAAGUGGGAUUAGGUAGUUGGUGGGGUAAAGGCCUACCAAGCCUGCGAUCUCUAGCUGGUCUGAGAGGAUGGCCAGCCACACUGGAACUGAGACACGGUCCAGACUCCUACGGGAGGCAGCAGUGGGGAAUUUUGCGCAAUGGGGGGAACCCUGACGCAGCCAUGCCGCGUGAAUGAAGAAGGCCUUCGGGUUGUAAAGUUCUUUCGGUAUUGAGGAAGGUUGAUGUGUUAAUAGUACAUCAAAUUGACGUUAAAUACAGAAGAAGCACCGGCUAACUCCGUGCCAGCAGCCGCGGUAAUACGGAGGGUGCGAGCGUUAAUCGGAAUAACUGGGCGUAAAGGGCACGCAGGCGGUUAUUUAAGUGAGGUGUGAAAGCCCCGGGCUUAACCUGGGAAUUGCAUUUCAGACUGGGUAACUAGAGUACUUUAGGGAGGGGUAGAAUUCCACGUGUAGCGGUGAAAUGCGUAGAGAUGUGGAGGAAUACCGAAGGCGAAGGCAGCCCCUUGGGAAUGUACUGACGCUCAUGUGCGAAAGCGUGGGGAGCAAACAGGAUUAGAUACCCUGGUAGUCCACGCUGUAAACGCUGUCGAUUUGGGGAUUGGGCUUAAAGCUUGGUGCCCGUAGCUAACGUGAUAAAUCGACCGCCUGGGGAGUACGGCCGCAAGGUUAAAACUCAAAUGAAUUGACGGGGGCCCGCACAAGCGGUGGAGCAUGUG